rnacentral:rRNA from 1 species
AUUGAACGCUGACGGCAGGCUUAACACCUGCAAGUCGAGCGGGGAAGGGUAGCUUGCACUGACCAGCGGCGGACGGGUGAGUAAUGCUUAGGAAUCUGCCUAUUAGUGGGGGACAACAUUCCGAAAGGAAUGCUAAUACCGCAUACGCCCUACGGGGGAAAGCAGGGGAUCUUCGGACCUUGCGCUAAUAGAUGAGCCUAAGUCAGAUUAGCUAGUUGGUGGGGUAAAGGCCUACCAAGGCGACGAUCUGUAGCGGGUCUGAAAGGAUGAUCCGCCACACUGGGACUGAGACACGGCCCAGACUCCUACGGGAGGCAGCAGUGGGGAAUAUUGGACAAUGGGCGCAAGCCUGAUCCAGCCAUGCCGCGUGUGUGAAGAAGGCCUUUUGGUUGCAAAGCACUUUAAGCGAGGAGGAGGCUACUUGGAUUAAUACUCUAGGAUAGUGGACGUUACUCGCAGAAUAAGCACCGGCUAACUCUGUGCCAGCAGCCGCGGUAAUACAGAGGGUGCGAGCGUUAAUCGGAUUUACUGGGCGUAAAGCGUGCGUAGGCGGCUUUUUAAGUCGGAUGUGAAAUCCCUGAGCUUAACUUAGGAAUUGCAUUCGAUACUGGGAAGCUAGAGUAUGGGAGAGGAUGGUAGAAUUCCAGGUGUAGCGGUGAAAUGCGUAGAGAUCUGGAGGAAUACCGAUGGCGAAGGCAGCCAUCUGGCCUAAUACUGACGCUGAGGUACGAAAGCAUGGGGAGCAAACAGG